rnacentral:tRNA from 2 species
GCAAGUGGCUGAGUGGUCAAAAGCACCCAGUUUACAGAACGCUUUUCGCUGAUUACCUCACCGCUGGUACUAUCUGUUCGGGUGCCGUAGGGCGACCAUACUUCGCACUGUGGUUGCCCGGGUCGUGGGUUCGAGUCCCACCAGUUGCU